rnacentral:rRNA from 1 species
UUCGCAAUGCCCGAAAGGGUGACGAAGCGACGCCGCGUGUGGGAAGAAGGCCUUCGGGUUGUAAACCGCUGUCGGGAGUUAAGAAGUGCAGGGAUGUUAAUAGCGUCUCUGCUUGACUAAGGCUCCGGAGGAAGCCACGGCUAACUCUGUGCCAGCAGCCGCGGUAAUACAGAGGCGGCAAGCGUUGUUCGGAAUUAUUGGGCGUAAAGAGCACGUAGGCGGCCGUGUAAGUCGGUUGUGAAAGCCUUCCGCUCAACGGAAGGACGGCAUCCGAUACUGCAUGGCUCGAGUGCGGGAGGGGAGAGUGGAACUUCUGGUGGAGCGGUGAAAUGCGUAGAUACCAGAAGGAACAUCGGCGGCGAAGGCGACUCUCUGGUCCGUAACUGACGCUGAGUGUGCGAAAGCUAGGGGAGCAAAUGGGAUUAGAUACCCCGGUAGUCCUAGCCGUAAACGAUGGGCACUAAGUAGAGGGGUUUU